GACAGGGAUCUCUUUUGGACUUUGAUCAUUGUAUUCUCUGUGGUCGGGGUCUGUGGUCCAAUUACUGCAUUAAUCUAUUUCCGUAAAACAAAAUCUGAAUCUCAGUCUAUGAAAGCUGAUAAAUGUUGUUCAGCUUUAACUGCAUCAGCACCCUCCAAUCUGUCACACGGCGACACUGAGAUGAACGAGACGACAACCAACGACACUCAGAAGGCCGAAACAUCUUCGGUCACACAGGAGAGCGAUGGGGUCAGACAACGGCCGUCGCCUGUGAAGACUGAACCAAGUGAUAACCUGAAUCCAUCACCUUCAACAUCAGUACAACUGUAGAAUGAAUCUGACUGACACAGUUUCAUUGUCAUUGUGGGAGGAGGUGAUUACUGUUCAAUAUGUUGAGCCUCAAAAUAACACAAAAGAUGUAUCAGAGCUUUGCAGGUAAAAUAUCUCGUCCCUGUACAUUGUUUCGUCAUCGUUUGUGACAAUUAUUAUAACUUUAUGGCAGCUUCUCUGAUUUUUAUACUGUUUUAUACCAUUUUUAUAUAAUUUAGUGUGUACAUGUUUUUAUAUGUUAUAUUUUUUCAGUUGUGAACACACCAUUAUACUACAUUAACCAGUGUAUGUACAUACUCAAGACAACACUAGUAUGUAGUGUUGUUCCUUUCUUGUGACUUGACAAUAUGUGAAGUAUUUUGAGUAUUUGUAACUUGUGUCAUCUAAUUAUGCCAAAGAAGCAUUCAAAGGGUGCCUAAACAUGAAUAGUGUUAUAUUAUGGCUUUGUUAAAAUAACAAGUAAGAAUUAAACUUGUGAACUUGUGUAAA